UUUUUUCCUAGACUCUGCCCAGAGUCAGUCCUGGUCACUCCCAGGACUGGGAUGCUACGCCAAUUGUAGCAUCAAUUAAAUCCCUCUGUUUGCUUUUUUUUUCCCCACACGUGACCUCUCAUGAAGCUCCUUUUCUGUCAUCCUGCACGCGUAUGAGUAUUCUUUUAAGCUGCAAUUAGGGCUAGUUGUUGCUUUUUAUUUCUUUUUUCUCUUUCUUGGCCAUGCCUACAGCAUAUGGAGAUUCCCAGGCCAGAGAGCAGACCCAUGCCACAGCAGUGGCUUGAGCCACAGCAAUGACAACACCAGAUCCUUAAGCCACUGAGCCAAAAGGGAACUCCAGUGUUGCUUUUUAAUUAAAAAAAAUUUUUCAUUAGUUUGGGCCCAUUAUCCCAGCACUUCCACACCAAUGUGAAAUGACACUGCCACUCAUCAUAAUGAAGCAUUCUUUUGAGAGCUUUACAUCAUCUGCAAUUUUUUUUAACCAGGGCCUCUACUUUUUUUUCAAGUUCCGAAUAAAAAUAGGUUUUUGCUAUUGCCCUUCCUUUUGUGUGGCCUAAAGCCAAGAAAAUCAACAUUCUCUAGCAAGAGUCACUCAGUGGGCUAUCCCCAACUAACUGUACAAUCUUAUUUUCAAAAAUUCGAUAUGGGAUUUUUUGAGUGCUUUGUUGAAAUGAAGAUGCACCCACUAUAGACUGGGAAUCCGGCUACCAUCAUGAAUGUUCUUAGUGAACCCUUAUUGGCUUCUGGUGACCUCUUUAUUAUUUUCCAAUUACUGUCAUCUAGUUAAGAGUCUAUUCUAAACUACUCAGGGAUUAAGAGAAAUGCGAAGACCACUUAGGAAAAUGGGAACAGCAUUUCCCAUUUUUGGCAACAUUCCUAUCACAGCUUCUCAAAAUUGGCUAAUAGUAGCCCCAAGGUCAGCUCUCUUACAUUUGGGAUGUAAUUGCCACCUACCCAGGGUUUCCAUGUCCUUUUAACUCAUUUAUCUUUAAUUGCAAAUUUUACUGACAUAACUGUAGAGUCACUUUCAGUUGAAAGAAAUAUACAGAGCAAUCCCGGUACACUUUGCCUGGGGGUUUUUCCAAAACUCUAGUAUAAUAUCACAAUCAGGAUGCUGACAUGGAGACAAGCCCCCAACCUUCCAGACUUUCUUAGUUUUACUUGUGCUCAUAUAUGCACGUGUGUGUUAACUUCAAUAUCACCCACUUAGAAUCAUGUAUUCAGUCAAGGUACAGAAUGAACAGUUCGAACACCUACUGCUGCCUAUUCAUUAAUCUUUCAGACAUGCUUGCUCUGCGCUUUUUGAUUUUUAAAUCAAUGGCCAUAAAGGAAAAAGACAAAUGGAAUUUUUCCCUCAUUCAUUUUUGGAAUGAACCAUGAUAAAUGGGUGAAGAGGUGUUUUUUUUUUCCUACUUUGGAAUGGAAGGGGAAGAAAAGUUCCAAUUAAAAGUAGUUAUGGGGGGACAGCUGCCAUUGGUGACCCAGCAUCUACGGAUAUUUUAACAUAUUAAGAAUCAUUUCCCCCACUAAUCUAUUUGAGAGACAGGACCACAUCCUACACCCCUUCUGUGACCUUGACUCUCCAACACCUACACAUCUCAGAUGACUCGUCUAAGCCAAGGAUCAGCCCUUUUUCUGUAAAGGGCAGAGAGUAAAUAAUUUAGCCUUUACCAGCAGGAUCUCGGUUGCACUGCCUUACUGUGGAAGGGGUAACUGGCAUUAUGUAAAGGGCUGGUCACAGCCUAUGCCAGCCUAUUCAUUUAUAAAAAUAGGUGGGAAGCAGCAGCUUGCCAACCCCCUGAUCUGAGCCAGUCAUGAUAAUUCCAUUUCCUUGGCCAGUGACUGAUUGACAAACGGACCUGGGACCCAGUCCCGGUGCACGGGAUGGGAGGGAAGUCUGCUGAGGGGCUUCUCGGAAAGCGUAUUUCACACCUGAGACACUCAAAGAAGAGACGAGCCUUCUUUUGUCUUUGGAUGUUAGCAGAUCUGGAUGUGGUACCUGGAAUCCCUGCAGCCAUCUUGCUCCUUACCUAAAGAUGAAGCCAUCAAAACAGGAAGGCCGAGGGGUUCCCAUCGUGGCUCAGCAGUUAAUGAACCCAACUGGCAUCCGUGAGGACACAGGUUCGAUCCCUGGCCUCGCUCAUGGGUUAAGGAUCCGGCGUUGCUGUGGCUGUGGUGUAGGCCGGUGGCUACAGCUCUGAUGAGACCCCUAGCCUGGGACCCUCCGUAUGCCAUGGGUGUGGCUCUAAAAAGACAAAAGCCAAAAAAAAGGAAAAAAACAAAAAAGAUGACCCACUCCCUGCCGUUUUCCUCCUCUGCCUUUAAGGCUCCCUCGCCCGCCUAGCCCGCGGAAGGCAAGCCACACGCACACGCGUGCACACUCCUCAGUCUUACCAUCGGGCCUGGGGCCAACCGGUCACCCCACACGAACACAAUUAAAAGUUAAACAUCAAUUAAAAUGUGCAAAAUCCAUUUAGCGCUCUGAAAAAGCACUAAAUACCCGCACACAUUUGGGGCACAAAUUACUCUAAAUUGUUUCCCAUUCGUCUUUAGUGAUCCAACACACUGGGCCUCAUUUUAGACUCUGUUAAUUGCUCACUCGGCUUCCAGAGAAUAAGCAAUGAAAAACGAGCCCAGGAUAAAAGAUAAAAACGGGGAAAGAAACGCCACACUGGGGCGAGUUCUGACAGGCAGGUAGUCUAUCAGAGCCGGCGAAGCAGAGAACUUCUGGGGGAGGGCGAGCCCCGUCCGGGGCCCAGGGGACCGGCAGGUGAGUUCUCCCCUGAGACUUCUGCUGAUGUCUUCAUCUGCAUGUCUGACACAGAUCUGGGGGUCUAACAGGCAUUUCAAGUUUUAUCCUGUCCAAAACAGAAUGUGCAAUUCCGCCCAAAUCCAUUUCUUGUCCUAUCCUCCCCAUCUCAAUAAAUGGUACCCGACUGCAGAAGCCCAAAUUCAGCAUCGCCCUUGAUUUCUUUUCUUCUGCAUCCCCCCAACCAUGCCAUCGGCAGGGUUCAUUUACUCUGCAAUCUGCUCGGUGCUCUCCCGUCCACGGCCACCACCCUCGUCUGGGCCUCUGCCCUGACUCUUGUGAGGUGACUACCCCCACUUCCUAACUGGUCUCCCUGCUCCUCUUUCAGCCUCUCCACGAUCCACUCUUUUAAAAACUAAAUACGACUCCAUCUCCCCCCUCGCCCCGCCCCACCCUUAAAACCCUCCGACAGCUUCCCAGCGCCUUUUAGAGUUAGAAGCCUGUGUUCAUUUCCUUCUGCAGCCAUAACAAAUGCCCACAAUUCGGUGGCUUCGCACGAUAUGAAGGCACUCUCAUCCAGAGAUCAGAAGGGUAACAUCAAGGUGUCAGCAGCGUUCUUUCUGGAGGCUUCAGAGGAGCAUCUGUGUCCUUGCCCGUUUUAGCUUCUAGAGCUUCCUGCACGCCUCACCUUCUCUGAUCCCCCUGCCUCCCUCUUACAGGGACCUUUGCAAUUACACCGGGCCCUUCUAGGUAACCCGGGACUGUCAUCCCACCCUGAGAUCUCUAACUUCAUCAGGCCCGCAAAGUCUCUUUUACCAGGUAAGGUAAUGUAUUUGCAGGUUCUGGGACUAGGAUAUGGCCAGUUUAGAAGGGCCCUGAUUCAGUCCAUCACAAAAUCAAAAUCAAAACACAACACACGAGGGGUUCCUGUCAUGGCUCAGUGGUUAAUGAAAUCUGACUAGUAUCUAUGAGGAUGCAAGUUCGAUCCCUGGCCUUGCCCAGUGGGUUAAGGAUCUGGCAUUGCCGUGAGCUGUGGUGUAGGCUGUAGAUGAGGCUCAGAUCCUGCAUUGCUGUGGCUGUGGGAUAGGCCGGCAGCUACAGCUCCCAUACGACCCCUAGCGUGGGAACCUCCAUGUGCUGCAGGUGCAGCCCUAAAAAGCAAUAAAAAAAAAAAAACAAAAAACAAACAAAAAAAAAACAAAAACCCAAUGCAUAAACAGGACACCUCUUUACCACGGUUCACCAGCCCAACGCCACCCGGCUUUGCCCACCUCGCUCACCCUCGUCUCCUACCCCCCUCACUCUCACUCACCUUCUCCUUGCUCUCGGGCCUUCGGGCUGGUCUUCACGGGGCCAGGCCUGCUCCCACCCCAGAGUCCUCACCCCUGCCGUCCCCUGCCCCUGUGGCAUUCCUCCCUCGCCAGUUCCCACAGCGGCUCCGUUCCCGAGAGCUCGGCUGUCACUGCCUCACGGAUCGCCUCCCAGAUCACCUCCUGACUCACUCUCUUCCCGUCGGGGAGCGAAUGCCAACGGGAGCGUCUCUGUCCGCUUUGCUCGCUCUGCCCCCUAGAACAGGGACUGUCACACCUACGACGAAUCCUCGCUGCAGGGGUGAUCGCCAGGACUUGGAAACAUGGGUGAUGUGCUCAUAACACGCCCUCAUAACCCACUCCGGUUUCUAAUCCACAGGUUUAUACCAAUGCUUUUUAAACUCAUCAACAUUUUCAUCCUAGAUCAGCUCUCAGGAUAAAACCAGACAAAAUGAAAUGUAAUAAAAACAACUGUAAAGCCGACAAAAUAUUGGGGGUGGCGUGGGGCGGAGGUGGGGUGAGGGGACAGGGCUGAAAAAGAAGAGGAGCCAUGGGACAUGCCAAGGAGACUCGGAGGGAGCCACUGUGGGUGAUUCCUAACUCAACAGGGCUUGUCAGUGGGAUGCGGCUUCCAAAAACAUGACCUUCCGGGCAAGGGAGGUUUCCAAGCCCAAAGAGGGAAAGGACUGCGUGGCCAUGUCUUCACAACAAAGACAGCUAGCAGUUACCAGAGUGAACCAGGAACAAGGCGCUACAGAGAAAGCGUUACAUAAAACAUCACAACAUUUCAGCCUCACAACACUCUUAUGGAGGGGGCGCUAUGAAUAGUUCUCACUUCCCAGACGAGAGAAACGUAGUUCAAAGAAGUCAGGUAACUUGCCCACAGUUCUAACGUCAGGAUCCACUCCAAAGCCUGAUUUUAAACAUAACGCUCCACCGCACCAGCUUUUCUUGAUGACGCUGGACACAAGGAAGGGUUGAUAAGAAAGCACUACCAAGAAGUUCCCCUUGUGGCUCAGCAGAAACAAACCCGACUGGGCUCCAUGAGCACAUGGGUUUGCUCCGUGGGUUAAGGAUUUGGCAUUGCCAUGAGCUGUGCUACAGGCUGGCAGGUGCAGCUCCAAUGUGACCCCAAACCUGGGAACUUCCCUAUGCCGUGGGUGCAGCCCUACAAAAAAGACCAAAGAAAAAAAAAAAAAAAAAA
rnacentral:lncRNA from 1 species